rnacentral:tRNA from 1 species
UGUAGCUCAGUGGUAGAGCACUUGCCUUGCACACAAGAGGUCCUGGGUUUGGUUCCCAGCA